UGUGUACAAGCCUAGCAAAAAACCCAGCUAGAUAGAGAGACAGGAGGGGAAAUGUAGCCUGUAAAAAGGAUGAGUUGAAAAGUCUUGGGCUAAGCUAUUCCUGAAAGAAUGAACUAGGGAUCACAGCAGGAGCUAAAGAACUUGUGGGAUAUCCAUCCAUGUAGAGAGCUAAGCUCCCUGUCCACUGCAUGGGUUGGCAGUUUGGUUACUCCUAGGCAGAACAACUCGGGGGAGAACAUCAGGUGGUAGCUCCUGGUUUUGUAGCUAUUGGGUCAGAGACUUCUCUCGCUUACACCAGGCUAACAUCAAUAGAGGAAUCUUACACUCUUCUUUUGUACCAGUUCAAAUGAAAGUAAAACUUGGCCCAACGUCACUCUGAAUAUCCUAGUAUGCUGGCACAACAGUAGCUCAGCCGUAGGCAGUCUAACAUACCUGCUACAGCUGGCCUCCGUCUUGCACUGAAUGAACUUGUAAGCAGCAGCAUGGCAGAGAAUCAGAAUCUGGGAUAUUUAAUUAUUCAGUGUCUGACAAGUUGACUGGGAAUUCAUCACUCAUCAUACAUGGAUGCUGAGAUUAAACCAGCUUCCUAUAAUAUUAAUCUGUAAUGACUUCUUCAGACCAAUUAUUCAUCUCUAACCAUGGGCAAAAAUAUAUCAUUACCCACUGCCUACUACUUUGCAUGUCACCUUUUUCUCUUCCUGGACGUGCUGGUCUAGAGACUUGUGCUUAUUUACAGGAGGUGUAUCGAAAUAAACAUGUCACAACUCGUACAGAAACUUGUCCUUAUUACUGCUUCUCUCUCUUCUCUAUGGACAACUCCUCCAGUCAGCCCUCUGGCUACAUAUUUAAUGGGAGAUGAUGUUAUGCUGUGAGCCAGAGCUCUUUGACUCCAACUUCCAGAGCUGGGCCCACAGGGAGGCAAAGAAGUAUUUGAAAAAGCUGUAGUUAGGAGCUUUUAUGACAAGCCCACUCUUAACAGCUUCUGGUUCAAAGUUGCCUUUAAAUGUAUUAUAAAUGAAA